GGGAUCUUGGUAUGCUCAGUCAGCCCUCUGCAGGGAGAAGGCUGUGGCACUUUUAAUAAAAUUAGAAACGAUGGUGUGAAAGGAGGCCCAUGGCACAGCCUCCUGCCCAAAGCAGGACUGCUGCCAGCAUGAAGCCUGUGUCUGUCUGAGCAUUCAGAGCCUCCAAGGGGAGAGCUGAUGUAAUCCUUGCCCCUGUUAUGAAGCCUUGGCCUCUCUUCUGUUGGACAGAAUUGUUCUUUGGAAAGUAGAAUAGAUGAUGAAAGCUCAGUGGGGGAACACAAGAGGUAGUUAUAAGAGGCUGAAGUAAAAGAAAGUCAAGAAUAUGAACAAUUCUGAGCUGGUGCUUGUGAUGCCUGGAGAAAAGCACUUGAUGCAAAAGUUGCAGAGAACUUUUUGCUUUCCUCAUUAAUGUAUCGAAGAAGGAGUUUUUACUCAAAGGACACGUACAAAGAAGUCAGGUUGCUUGUUCUGUGGAACACGGAGUCAGAGGAGCAGAUGAAGAAGAAAGAAGUGUGAGCUUGUGUGUGUGUGGAUUCAUCUUGCCAUGGAUCAGGAGUUCACCUUGUGAGAGCUCGUGUGGACAGCACUAGAUUUUCCAAGGAGGCGGACCACAAGACCUCACCGCAUGGAGUCCUGUUUUACUUUGUAGUGCUAAUCUCAACCACUUUGUUCACCCACCUCUUACUUACACCUCCACCCAUGGUAAGGAUCAUAGAGUUGGAAGCGACACAUAAGGAUCAUCGAGUUCCAACUCCUGGCUCCACAUGGAACCACCCAAAAAUCAAACUCUGGAUGCUCCUUGAACUCUGGCAGCUUGGGGCCAUGACUACUGCCCUGAAGAACCUGUCCCAGCGCCCAGCCACCCUCUGGUGCAGAAUCUUUUCCCAAUAUCCAACAUGAAGAUGACAUAUCUUAACUGUUUCUUCCACGCAUCAUGUACUAUGUUUAAGCUCCAGGGAAACGGUGUGCUCCCAUAGUGCCAGCAGCACUAUUGGAGGGUGAAGUUAAGGCUGUGUCCUGUAAGAUGUCUGUAGCAAUCUAGGACUUUGAGCGCUUCUUAAGCCAGCCAGUCUGUUGGGAAAUACUUUUCCUCAUUGAUUGCUGCAGUUCAUUUGGAAAAGUUAAACAAAAUAGUGCAACCACUAUGAUGAAAAUGGCUUUGGUUAGAAUUGCCUUAAUUACAAUCCAGAAUUAUCCUGACGUUUACACAACUGUAAGUAAAAUCUGAAGUUUGCCAAGAUAGAUUAAUUUAGGAUAAAUGACCAUGCAACAGGUUCUGAUUUCAUUUCUGUUGGGAAAUCAACUAAUGCCAAGUUAGAUUAAACCUUGCCUCCAUGCUUGCCCUGUGCCAGCAUGAGAUAAAAAAUAUUCCUAGUACUCUUCCUCUGGGACCUACAAAUGAAUCUUGCAACAUCAGUGACACUGGCAUAGGCUGGUGCUGUGUACCACACAGAGAACACCAGACAAAGUCUGACCUUGCCCUGAGCAGUCCCAGAUGUGACCUUGUUUCUGAAAGCUCAUCUGUGUGUCUGUUUCUGUCUUGUGCCUCUGAUUUUAAUGCAUAUCCUCAGCAACUGUAUGCCAAAUGUGAAUGCGGACUCAUACUGAGAGUCAGGCAGCGUGCUUUGACCCGUAUGUUUGAUGAGUGGGUACAAACUGUGAUCAGGUUUUCCAAGUGAAAGCACUGCUGCCACAACCAUUUCCUGACAUUUGCUUACACAGUGUUUUCUUCCUUUCACCCUUCUAUUGCCUGGAACAAGUGCCACUGAUGUGAAAGCAAGUCUCCAUUUUAUUGACUAAAUGUUGUCCCAGAGUCCUUCUAACUUAUUCUUCUCUCAUUUUAAAGCCUUUCUUGUAUGAAUGCAACAUGUUAGUAACUCAUGAGUACACAGUGCCAUUAAUUUCCAGAAUUGAAAGUCUUCAUGCAAUUCAGAAGUCAGUAAUUUCCCGGAGAAUAUACGUUGUUUCACUCAUUUCCAUGAACUCAUGCUGAUUUAUAUCAAACUAGUGAGUAGAAACAAGAUACAGGUGAUUACUACUCUGGUAAAAUACAGGAAUGACUGUGAAUCAAGAAAAAUUUUUGUCUCCUUACACCUAUAAGGUGGCUUGCUGGUAGCCUUGAAGACAUUUUCUCCUUCAUUUAUGCAUCUACAAUGAUACAGUUCUCCUUGUUUUGCUUUGAUAGCGUGUCUGGCCAUGUUUUUAGUGCUGAAAACACGUGUAAGAAAACCUACUUGUUAAGUCAGACUGAAUUUACUGGACGUCGUCAAAACAAGAACUAAAUAAUAAAAGUGGAAUAGGUUGGGGGACUAAUUUCUGAAGUGGUUAGAUUUUUUGUGAUUGCAGUGAGUCAGUGGGCUGAGCUGUGAGAAUUAUUGGAGAUGUUUUCUCAAUGUGUGUGUGCGUGUCAGUUGCUUUACUAGAUCAGUCAGCGUUUAUAAAUCCACCUCCAGGUGGUGGAAUAAACAUGUAGCUCCGUGAUGAGAGUAUUAUUCUGGAAGCUUGAAAGCAACUACUGAUCUCAUUGGAUAUUAGACAGCUCUUCUGGCUUCGGGCUCAUUUGGGCUUUGAUUUGAGUACAGAAGAAGUGUGUCAUCUUAACAGUGUGCAAUAUUUUAAUGUAUUAUUUUGUGUUCAGUGUUUCUGGGAAAUGAAUGAAGAAACCCACCACUGUAUGCAUAAACAUUAUGGUCAAGGCUCUGACAGCUUCAGUGGCUGCCACGGGUUCCUCUGGCUACCCCUGUCUGGGAUUUUGAGGCUUGAGUUUCUGCAAUUUAUAUUCACCACUGUAAAGUCAUCUCUACCACAGGUUCCCAGGGAUCCCUGGGAUGUCUUCACAAAGCACUGUACGCUCUUCCCUUCCAUAUAACUGAAGAAUCAGUUAGGAUGGAAAAGACUCAAAAGAUCGUCCACCCAUAACCAACCUAACACUACUAUGCUCACCACUAAACCAUGUCCCUAAGUGUCACAGGAUUUCAGCUCAAAGCCAAUGUCACAAAAUUUAAUGCAGGUUCUUAUGGAGGAAGAAGCUGAUUUUAUUGUACAAAAGCCUUGAACAGAAUAAUUCUGCCCCUCAGGCUCUCACACUCUCAGCUGUCAAAAUGCAUGCGUUCAGGUGGUCUGGCCAGAGUACAUGUGAAAUUGGAGGAUGAGGGAUCUGGCAUCUCUUUGUUGCCUGUUGUCUGGUUAAAACAAAACAGCUUACGGACAAACCUCAUAUAUACCGUAGGAAACAUCAUCUGCAAUAAGGUAGUUCCUUGGCUUGUUUUUUGCUUACCUCACCUGUCAUAAAUCUUGGAUCAAGUUACUCUCUCUACUGACUUUUCCCCCGUUGGAAAUAUAUAUACUUGAGUCAUGUAUCAGUGGCCUUUUCUUGUUGGUCUAAGAGGAAAAAAAAAAAAAAAAGAAGUAUUGAAGGGUUAUACAUGAUAUUUUGCAUCCAUCUUGCCAUCUUGCUGUUGUGAAGAUUACAGAGUCUUCUGCUGAAGGGUAGUCUGGGCUGUAGGGUAUUGAGAGCUGACCUGGCAGAAAGAACAUUCAUAAUAACUGUAAUGCUGCAUAUUGUUACUAAUUUCUGCAUUGAUUUAUGAGCACUGUCACAGCUCUUCCCGGAUUGCCUGUAAGCCUGAGAGGCAUCUUUGAGGUGAGAUGCUGCUAGUUCGAAAGAAGAAAAUAAAUCUCUGCUGCACUCUCCGGUUGCAUAUGCGUGCACUGCAAAUGUUACACUGGAGGUCUUUAAAAUCAUCACUAGAAGGACAAAGAAAACUUCACAUUGAAAAUGGCGAUUUAUAAGAAGAGUUAAUGAGAUAGAAAAAAACCAGAAGCUUCAUUUCUCCAUUUCCAGUAAAAGGAUGGCCCUUUUAAGACCCAGCACAAAGCCAGGAGAUUUUCACUGACUUAUUUGGGCCAAGCCUCUCUCAUUUUAGUGUAAAAGCUACCUGGUCUGAAGAAAAGGCCAAUAUAUCACAGAAUAUUCCUCAAUUCAG
ensembl:lncRNA